GGGCCCUGCCACAAUUGGAGCCAUCAAGGAGAGAAGAACAGCCUAGAGAUCGACCUCCAAUUGGGAUCAUCAACACCAUCUUUGGAGGGCCCCGGAGGGGAGCGGUCAGUGGAUCGGUCAGACCGCUCAAGCGGCAAAGAACUGAAGGAUUUAUAACCUUUACUGAAGAAGAUGCUCGGGAGAUCCAAUUCCCCCAUAAUGAUACGGUUGUAGUUUCUUUAAAUAUUACUGAUUAUGAUGUACGCCGCAUUCUUGUUGAUAGUGGAAGCUC
rnacentral:lncRNA from 1 species